GAUGAACGCUGGCGGCGUGCCUAAUACAUGCAAGUCGAGCGAAUGGAUUAAGAGCUUGCUCUUAUGAAGUUAGCGGCGGACGGGUGAGUAACACGUGGGUAACCUGCCCAUAAGACUGGGAUAACUCCGGGAAACCGGGGCUAAUACCGGAUAACAUUUUGAACCGCAUGGUUCGAAAUUGAAAGGCGGCUUCAGCUGUCACUUAUGGAUGGACCCGCGUCGCAUUAGCUAGUUGGUGAGGUAACGGCUCACCAAGGCAACGAUGCGUAGCCGACCUGAGAGGGUGAUCAGCCACACUGGGACUGAGACACGGCCCAGACUCCUACGGGAGGCAGCAGUAGGGAAUCUUCCGCAAUGGACGAAAGUCUGACGGAGCAACGCCGCGUGAGUGAUGAAGGCUUUCGGGUCGUAAAACUCUGUUGUUAGGGAAGAACAAGUGCUAGUUGAAUAAGCUGGCACCUUGACGGUACCUAACCAGAAAGCCACGGCUAACUACGUGCCAGCAGCCGCCGUAA
rnacentral:rRNA from 1 species